CUUCUCUCUCUCUCUCUCUCUCUCUCUCUCUCUACAAGUAUUUUUCCUCCGUUUCCAAGUAUAAAACUGUAUUUAGUUUUUGAGAGAUUUGAUCAUCUAGCAAGAAGAUAUGAGCGAUCCCAAGUAUGCUUAUCCUUAUCCUGCACCGGGGAACUACCCUCAUGGCCCGCCGCCUCCAGUUGGAGUACCGCCUCAGUAUUAUGCUCCACCACCGCCGCCGCCAAGAAGGAAACCUGGUUUCCUUGAAGGACUACUUGCGGCUAUGUGUUGUUGCUGCCUUGUGGAUGAAUGUUGCUGCGACCCGACCAUUAUAUGCAUUGAUUAAACUUUCUUAAAUUUAGUGUGUUCUUUGUUUAUGAUGAGAUUUAUGUAAUAAGAUGUUGUAUGAGUAGUAUAAUUUUAUGUACCCUUCAAACUGAGUUCUUUAGCCAAUAUAAUAAAUACGUUGACAAGAUA